CUGGACUGUUCACCCAUAGGGAACGCGAGCUGGGAUUCAACAUGUCGCGUGAGACAGGUGGAAGCCAAAAAGAUGGUGUGGCACGACACAAUGAAGGAUGACAUCCCAAGUAGUAUCCCAGCUAGGCAGCUACAUUGCUACACACUCUGGGGGCAUGAUUUUUGUUUUUUUUUACAGUGCUACGCUCUGGGGUCCUCCCAGAGUAGCUUAAUCCCGUAAUCCUGUACGCACUGUGUGUACAAUUUUUUCACAGCUUUAUUUGUGAAAUCAUUCAAUAUUAGCCUACAGCAAUAAAAAAAAACUUGUGUGA